rnacentral:rRNA from 1 species
UACGAAGGGGGCUAGCGUUGUUCGGAAUUACUGGGCGUAAAGCGCACGUAGGCGGAUACUUAAGUCAGGGGUGAAAUCCCGGGGCUCAACCCCGGAACUGCCUUUGAUACUGGGUAUCUCGAGUCCGGAAGAGGUGAGUGGAAUUCCGAGUGUAGAGGUGAAAUUCGUAGAUAUUCGGAGGAACACCAGUGGCGAAGGCGGCUCACUGGUCCGUACUGACGCUGAGGUGCGAAAGCGUGGGGAGCAAACAGG